UUUAUGGAGCAAAAUAGGUUAGCUACAACUACAGGCAAGACUGUAGAAGGACUGUACAAAAAGAGACCUAACAAGGGAAGGACACCGGGAACCUAAAGGACCCAGUCUAUGGUGACAGCUUUAUUCUUUGAAGAUUCAGACAUUUCUCUAUGGGUUUUGAUUUAAAUAUCAGGUAGCAGCCAGAACUCUUAUAUCCCAUGUCAGAAAAUACAUGAUGCGAAUCUUCUCUCCCUGGUGUUACCUGCCCACACUCUCCCCCUCACCAUGUCCUCUCUAUCCCUGACUCAGUGUGACUCUGAGUUAAAAGGUAAGCUCCCUGACUGUCACAUUGAGUUCUGAGGUCUGCUGAUUUCCAGGCCAUCACUGGCAUUGCAUAGUCCAAUUAUUCAGUACUAGCAAUUCAAUAACCAUUGGUUUAGUUCAUUCUUAGCCCAAAUGAAAAGCCGUGGGCGCGACAUGUCUUACGUGGUCUUCAAAAUACUGCAGUCGCGAAAGGUAGCUCUUCCUUGCUGUCACCAUUCGGAACCAGGACUGAAUCUGAAAUAUAGUAGGCCAGAGAAACCAUGAUGACCAGCACACAAUCCUCGAGGUAGCCCACACUGCCUUCCUAAGAAUAUUAUCUGCUGAACACAAGUAGCCUUGUAUGCCUGUGAAUCCAGUAUCCAGGAUGCUGAGGCCAGCCUGGGCUACAUAUAAGAUCCCGUGUCAAAGGAAAACCGACAGCUUACCAAGUAAUAGGUAGAUAUCAAAACCUCCCCUUCAUUUCUCACUUAUUUGAUUGUUUCCUUUCAAGGCUUUUAAAACCCAUUAUACGUGACCAUUAACCUCACCACCACCUUAAUAGGAAAGGGCUGGCCUGGGCUAAAUAGCUUAGUUUUCAACCCAAUAAGUAAAAGUCACGAAAGCAGGGCAGUCUUCUGAGCUAGAGGGAGUCAGUAAAUCAAACUAAACUAAAAUCCCUUAAAUGCACCCAACACGCCUCAGCCUUUAAACUGCAUUUAUCCAUCUGUGCAUUGCGUGUGUGUGCACACGCAUGUAUGCCAUGGGGUACGUGUGCAGUUGGAGGACAACCUGAGAAAAGUCUAUUCUCUUCUUCCACCAAGUGAGUCCUGGGGAUGAAAUUAAAAUAGCAAGGCUUUGCAGCCUUUCUGAGCCAGCUCCUCAGCUCCAUCCUUUAGGCGGCCAUAGAAAAGCGCUCGGGCGGUCUCGGCAGGGAGUGUUCCUAACUGUUUUCUGAGGGGACGGGCAGGCAUGUUCCACAGUGGACACAGACACUGUGCCUUGAAGGAGUGAGAAGAGUCAGUACUUCUGGUCCUCUCACUCUCUGCUCCCACAACUUCAAAGUCUUCCAACUUAUUCAUUUCAAUUUCUUUCCGGUUCUUACUGAUUAUCAUCUAGAUUUCCAAGUUGUCUACAAGUUCAUUUUUCUUUUCUGUUGUGCAAACUUUUCCUUUUAGCUAAGAGUGGCCCCCACAGUGCCUUUCCUUUCUGUAGAUCAGAGCUAUUUGUUCACCGGGACACAGGCUUUAACAUCUACCUCACACCUAAGCUUUUCUGCUGGUAAUGUUUGAACACUCUAAGUACUGAUAGCAAAUGCAUUCAGAGGGACAUGAAACCAGGCUGGAUAGAGCAGGGAGAGCAUCCUAGCUUUAAAAAUCAAUUGGGAUUUUCCAGACAAAGAGCCAGGUACCAAAAACACAUUUACAUUUGAUUCUUUUAACCACAGAGAGGACAGGAGACCAUCACGGCAGCACAUCAACUAACUCACUUGAAGGUGCUCCAACCCCAGGACUGACCUGCAAGGCUCGCACAUCUCUGGUAAACAGUUUUAUCUUCUAGAUCCAGGACAAGGUGUGAGGGAAUGUAUAAGUCAAGCACUUGUUGUGGCCAAAAGCAAUAUUUACCUUCACAACAGAGUCAACGUUGCGAGCAAACACUUGUUGUCUGUGUAGAUAUUCCUGGCGCUGUUUGUAUCCCUUCCAGAAAGCCUGAGGGGGAAAGAGUAGGCCAAGAGUGACUAAUGACAGAACACAUCUCAGGAGGUACUGAAUAGGACAACAUGUCCAAUGGCUGACUCUUAGCUGGGGCAGAGGACGCCAGCAUAUGCACAAAACAGGGCCAGAGUCGGAAGAGGCGGAGAAAGGGAAACCAAUAACCAGGUUAGCAUUCAGUUUUCUACCUGAAAGCCUAAUUUUACCAAGACCCUGCUCGACAAAAGCAAACAGUAAAAGGAAUCCUUCUCAUAGUCUUAACUGGAUUCUAUUAAUAGUAUUGUUUGGUCACAAUAUAAAAUGCUUGACAAUAGUGGUUAAUAUAUGAUUGUCUUUACUGCACCAAGUGGCCUAUAGUGGGCUACACUAGGAAGUCAUUUCACUCACUUGUAACUCUGAAUCUCUAGAGAGAUUAUAUUUACAUUAUAGUCUAUAAUCUCUAAAGAUAUAUUAUUGUCUAUAAUUGAUCAUUUAUCAUUUCAUAUGUUCCCACAUAAAAUUAUAUAUAUAUACAUAUAUAUAUCUGUCACUAUUUCAACUAGUUUCUCUCUAGAAUGAUCUGUUCAUUUUUUUACCAUGUACAUUUCCAAAUAUGUACAACAUAUCUACCCAUAUGCACAUCAUUAUGUAUUAAAUAUAAAGUGUAUAUCAUGUGUGUAUCAUUUUCUUCCUUUUGAUAAAAAGACCCAACAAUAUCCCAGGGUUCGCUUUCUCCUCGAAGCUACGAGAAAGUCUCUAUGUAAUACAUACAUGAAAUAUCUAUGCUAGCUAAUACAGACUCAGAGAAGGCAGAGCUACUGGAAUUAAAACUUCAAAGCUUAAAGAGAAAGAUGCAGAAUUCUGACGGAUUAAAUGUAAGGCAUGUAGUAUUCUGCUUCUCUCUGGAUAAAAACCUCUGGUAACAGUUGUCUCAGAAAGAACAGACUGACUAUAACUUAUGAUCUCCCUACAGAGAGGCAUUAGGUUGGGACUUUUUUUUUUUUUUUUUUUUUUUUGCAGUAAACAACCUUAUACAUAAGAAACAGGGAAAAAUGUGUAUUCUAUUUCCCUGGUAAUAAAAGUAAUUUUAAAGUCCCUAAAAUUUUAUAGUUUUUUAUAUUACUAUUUGUACAUUUAGAUAGCUAUUAAGGUGUGUGUGUGUGUGUGUGUGUGUGUGUGUGUGUGUGUGUGUGUGUGCCUGUGUGCCUGCGUACAACUCGCAGGAGUCAGUUUUCUCCCUCCACCAGGCAGGUCCUGGCAACAAGCGUCUUUACCCACUGAGCCAUCUCAAAGGCUCAUUUUCAAUAUUAUUAAGAUCAUAUGAAUUUAUUUUUAACAGAGUCCAUAAUCAUUUACUUAUUUAGGGACAAGAUAACACUAUGUGGCUCAGGCUAGCCCUAAAUUCACAAUCUCUCGCCUUGGUAUCCCAAGUCCUGAGAAGGCAGGUCUGUGCUACUAUGCCCAGAUUCAAGAUUUCUUUUUUUUAAGUGAGAAGUAUAAAAAGUAGUUAUUUAUUUCAGGUGGUGGUGGUGGCGCAUGCUUUUAAUCCUACCACUCAGAAGGCAGAGGCAGGUGGAUCUCUGAAUUUGAGGCCAGCCUGGUCUACAGAGUAUGGUCCAGAACAGCCAGGGCUACAUAGAGCAACCUUGUCUCGAAAAAAUAAUAGUAGUUAUUGCACCAAGGGAAUCAAGUGACUGGUUACAAGGUUGAGAUCUUUUCUGUAUGUCAAAAAGUAAAAACCUAUUAAAAAGGUUAUUCACACUAGCCAAGUCUUAAAUACACACGGGUAAACUAAAAAAGAAAUAAGGGAAUUAAAAUUAUAGUACUAUUCUGGGAUAGAUUUAAGGGCAUCCUUAUAGAGAUGCCAAGCUCUAAACGACACCCCCCCCAGAAAAAAAAAAACAACCAAAAAAACUUUUAAAAUAAAGAAAAACAAAAAACAAAAAACAAGAACACACACACACACACACACACACACACACACACACACAAGCAAAACAAAGCAAAAUUUAAAACAACAAAAACCACCACCACCAAAAAAACCCAACCCAAGACUUUAAUUUAAUACAAUUGUCAAAAAUAUUGAGAAAUGGGUUUAGAAUUUUUCAAAUGACUUUGCGCUAUCGGUUGGUAAAGAUGAGUUUCUGUGGAAGAAGGCGAGACCUGAGGAUUUCAUUUAGCACAGGCCGGUUGGGAUUCAGCAGGACCACAGGGGCUUGGGACUCUGCCUGCCUCGGAAGCUCCCAGCCAUGAGCCCAUACUGUGAGCAGUAAAGACGUUAACAACCGUGGCUAAAGGAUUCUUAAUCAGGUGCCCAUUUAGAAUGCUGCCCCGGGAUUGCGGCAGGGUGGCAUUUCUGAGAGGAGAGGAGAAACUGCUGUCUGAUGUCCUCAACCAGUAUUCACACAAAUGGUUCAUCGACAUGACGGAGACGGGGAAGCAAUUCCUACUGUUCCAACUGCCGGGACUCCACGGGAGCGUGGCCGUCACAUGCCUGAGCAAGCUCCCAACAGUUCAUACGUUCGGUGGGUAGUGCAGGUGCAAUUAUGUGAAUUAUAUAUCUUUAAUCUAUACACAGAGCAAAAACAGAACUGAUAUCAGCCUGAGAUCUGUCUCUUUCUGCUUUCCUAGCAUCGACUGCCAUUCAGAAACACCGUUCAUCAUUACUAACUCAGAUUGGCGACUGUGAGGAACUGACCUGAAAUAUUCAGAGGAUCCAACCUGGAGCCACCUUCCUUGUCCACUGGCAUUAUUUGCUUACCGUAUUCAUGAUUCAACACUCACUCUUUGCAAGGUUUUGGUAUCAUACUUCAUCCUGUAAUCAGCUACACGUUAUGGACACUUCCUCCCAAUCUUCCUGUUAGAAAUAUUCAUUGCUACGUUCUAAACGAAGGUGGCUGAGGUAGUAGGCAUUUUAUUUUUCUUUACAGGAGCGGGAAUCCUACUGAGGCGACCAGGCUGACUCCUGACAGACUUCAAAUCGGAAGUUCAAGAGAAGAGGCCUCAAUCUGUUUCCAAGAACUCGAAAAUCCAGGCAAGUCCUGCCCUCAGAAGCUGCCCCACCACCUGGCCCAAGGCAAGGACAAUGGGUCAGCAGCAUUUUCCAGACCUCCCCAGCAGUGGUUUCUAGCCUCCAUGCCCUGGUAAUGGAAUUUCCCUAGAGAUGGAGUAAGAUAAAGGUCACCUACUCUAGAACCCCCUAAUGUGCCUGUGAGCUCACUUUGUUGUGACUUGGUUGUGUCUCUGUCUUGGUAAUGGGAGACCCCAGCAUGCUGGACUUCUGCAGAAUAAAACACACUGUGUUUACAUAAUAGUUGAGUCCAGGUAUCACUCUUCGGCAAUCCAUGGACCCUUAUACUAUAUAUGUAUGUAUGUAUGUAUGUAUAUGUAUAUAUACACAUAUACACACAUAUAUAUGUAUAUAUAAGUAUAUAUGUAUAUGUAUAUAUAUCUUAUAUUUAAUUUUUAAAAAUUCUACAUUUUUCUUUCUCAGCUUUGAAGUUUUCAAUCCAAUAUGUCUGGCUCUUUAAAUUCGGUGUCAGCAACAGAACCCACUCUCACGGUCAUAAACUGCAGGUUCCCCCAAUAAACAAGCAUGGGUCUAACAAUGGAGUGAAAGGAGACACAGGUUUAAAUCAUAAAGCCAGUUAGAAACAGCUUUUUAUAGUAAAAUCAUUCUCUUCCCUGCUACGGGAACUUGUAGGAAAAGUUCCCGUAGCCACCUUCUUCUGUUUUCCUGGGCUGUGGAUAUAUUUGCUGUGCGAUGCUGAAAUGCUGGAGACUCCCCCUCUUCUUUAUAUCUCUUCAGUGGUAAUCUCCGGGUGCGCUAGCCAGCAGCUGCCUUGCCUGAUAAUGGACACCCGAACUCUAAUCAUGAUGCUAAAGUCACUGUGAUUCAGGUCGCUAGGAAGCUCUGAACGAUUCUUUCCCUCUUUCUAACGUCUAGCAAACACACAAGGCUAAGUCUAUUACGUCCGUCCGCACCAGGGAUGCCCUAUGGGGACUCCCCUACUUUGCAUCCCUCACAGAAACCAUUUCUUCUCUUCUCUUGGCCUGGAUGCUGUGGCCUUCCUCGAUUUAAGAAACACCAGCGAUCUUACUGCUGGAUUCCUACCACGUGUCCUCUGAAUCACCUCUACCUCCUCCUCAUAGACUGAGCACUGAGCACAUGAGAGAAGCAUGGCAGGGGACGUCUUCAAUGGGAGCUAUCCCGUUCAAGUCUCACAGUCCUGCCGGGCAUCAGGAUUUUCACAUGAAGAAAUGUGUCUUCAGUCAGUUAUUCUCUCUCUCUCUGCUUUCUGCUAAAUUUCUCCCAACUCCAGGUCUGUUUCGAUACUUCUCAAUGUCUGUCUUUCACUCUGAGCUUUCAUUCAUUUACACUUGAUUACGUCACAAUUUCCUUUUGCCCCUCCUCCAUCACACAUACACUUUCAUUAUUAAAUUCCUUGAGAAUUUCAGUAUAAAUUUUUCUUCUUGAAAA